CUCAUUCUCUCCAAGCCUCUCCCUCUCCCCUCUGAGCUCUGCCCCUCUCAGAGCCCCUCUCUCCACUGGUCCCUACCCUCUCGUAAGUCCCUGUCCUCUCAGACUCCUCUGAGUAGGGGGGGAAGGGGUAAUUCAUUUUUUGAUUCAGAAUCAACAGGGUCUCAUAAUCUUGCUGACUUCCCUCCUGACUACCUAUUCACCAAAUGAGUAAUAAAGAGAAGGAAGAAGAGACUGUGAGAAAGGAGGAAAAGGAAGAAGAGGGUGACUGGGGGCUGGAGCUGGAGGAGAAAGAGGAGCCUCCAAACCAUGCAAGAAAGAUGAGCUCCUCAUGAGGGCUUCCCGCUCACCUCCUCCAGGCAGCACCCAGGAUGCACCAAUACCUGCUCUGCACCCUAGAUGCAAAGACCUGGUCCUGGGGCGUGAAAUGACUCCACCAGGGUGGAGUGUCCCUGAACGAAGAAGGCCCAGGACAAACCCCAAGUCCCUCCUAGAGGGCUGUUUGCAUGUUUCCUAGGCAUUACACACCCCCUUCCAAAGCUUGGUCUCCAUCUGGUAAUUCUCAAGCUCAGCGGGCAGGCACCCCUGGAUGAGGAGCUCAUCACAUCCCCGACACCCCCACCAUCUCAUAUCUCUACCCAAUCUGCGCUGCAGCCAUCUUCUUAACCCACUGCCUGAUUUCUUUUCCCACCUUUCUGCUGCCCUUUGGGAUUCACCAUAGAAUCCAGCUCUUCUCCUGCUCUCCUACCUCCAAAAUCUUUCAAGGUCCUGCUCCAACGAGUCCAUAGGCCAGCCCCUUUCCUGGCCUCGGUAUGUGUCUCUGUCACAUGGGAGCUGGGGGAAUCCCCACCACAUCUUGCUCAAGCCCCCUUUUCACAGGCAAGAGGGAAGGUGGGGAGAAACCGUGCAAACAGUCCUGCCAGUCUGCAGGGCCCGGGGCAGAGCCAACACUCCUCGUGCAACCUCCCUUUUGCUGCUCCUGAACUUGAACUUUGAGCAGGCUCAGCACCACGCUGUUCCCUGGGAGAUGAGGGCCCCUCCCACUGUAUGCUGAGUUUCAGGGCCCUGUCCUGGACGUUAUAACACUCAGGAGCUGGAUGUGGGGUGCACAGCAUCAUCACCCCACUCUUCCUGUCCUGCAUGCCUGGUGGUGGCUCCGCAGAGAACGAGUUGGAAUCCCAACUUUCUUGCUGUGUGGCCUGGGACAAGUAACUUAACCUCUCUGUGCCUGUGUCUUGUUCUGUAAAAAGGGAAGAAAAUAACUAUUCUUUCAGAAGUCUUCAUGAGGAUUAAAUGCAAUGAUGUCUACAAAAAUCCUGAGCACAGAACCCAAAAAGCAUUAAUAAAUGUCA